rnacentral:lncRNA from 1 species
ACUACUUUUGCCUCUGCACGUCUGUUCUGAUUUCUUUCUUCAUGUGGGAUGCCUCUCUAUCCUUCUCCUGCUUUUAAUAUGGAGCUUCAGUCUCUAAGCUAAAAGGCCAAGUCCAGAUUCACCUGCCAAUGAAGCUCUUUAAAUUAUCUCUUCUUUCUCAGGACUCACUGGCUAUCAGACAUUACUUUAGGUGAAGACUUUCCAGUCUGACUUCCCUCACCUGAGCAAAAAGAAGCAUUGGAGAAGACACUUGAUGUCACAUUAAUGAAAGGGAAUAAUGGAUUAAGGAAAGCUUGGUAG